GCUGCGGAGCAGAGGCUCCGGACGCGCAGACUCAGCGGCCAUGGCCAAUGACGCCGCACGGGCCAGGCUUGGUAAGUGGACCCGGCAAGAGGAAGAUGAAUAAAACGUGGUUCCCUGGUUUCAGCGGCUCACAGUGAGCUGGGGGAGACAGAAAUGCAACUCAUGGAGCAGACUCAAAACCCGGGAUAAGGCACUAAUACAAUUAACGAAGGCAGUAAAGCAGAGCGAUGAAUCUUACUUUGCAAAAUGAUUCCAAAGGCCUAAGAUGAAAGAGACGAAGAAAAAACUUAAUGGUGCAGCGUAAGACCUUCUGCCAGGAUUCUCAACAUAUAUGUACUUUUGCGAAAAACACCACUGCGUUACUGCCCUGCAGGUGACAAAGCAUUCAGUCCACACCUGUGCUAAUACGGGAAUUGUCUCUUCUGCGUCGGAACAGUAGCAGAUAAGAUGCGACACAUGUGCUUCAGCCAGCUGGGACCGCAUGUUGAAGAUGACUAUACAUCGGAUUUAAAUAAACAGCAGAAAUGAACAUAAUCGUGCACAAGCCAACGAAACCUUCUCUCCCGGGACGUUCCAGGAGAUGAGAAAGCAGCAGGUCAUGGCAUAAGACUGGUACAGAUGAAAAAAUCAAGUCACAGAGCAGUCAAGAAACUCGCCUAAGGUCAUCGAGCUGGUAAGUAACACAGCUGGGAUGUGAACCUGUGAAGUCUGGCGCCAGAGGCCAUACCGCUAGCCUACACUGUCUCAGCAAGCUGGCUGACUAAAAUUGUGCAGAUUGUUUGGUCAGCCACCCUACACGUGGUGAUGCUGACUCAAGGUGGAUCUCUCACAAAGAUGGAUUCAGUCUGCUUCCCCUCAAAUGUCUGCUUCAGUGUGAACUCUGCCAUGAAUUUCCACGUUGUUAUUUGUAAACUUCUGACUUACACAGUGUCUUUUUACCUCGAAAUUGUAUGCAGUGCUCUUUUGUUUUAAAGGCCAUUCACUGCCUACCUUUAGGAUGAUUUUGUCACUUCCUAACUCUCUGUGAAGAAAAUGGUUAUAAGGGGUGUGAGAGGCAGCUUUAUGUUAUUAAGGAAGAGAAGGUUAAUUGUGAAACGCUCCGCACGAAGGUGCCAACUCAGUCCUGCCUUCCAGCUCCCGACAGAGGUGCAGAGCUGCUGGCCUCCCUUCUCUCUUGGGGUGUUUAGGGGAACCCUAGAGACCAGCCUGCAGAGCUGCACGAUGCUUGGCCAACUCCCAGAAUCUGACUGUUUUGCACAUUCGUUAAGACAGAUGCUGUUUCUAAACAAGAAGGCUGUGUGAAUUUACCUCUUAGUAACGUUAGUAACGUUUUACAGAAAGACUACUAGGUAACUCAUCUAAUGUGAGGAGCACUGGGGCACACACUUCCCCUUGGGGAGUUCUGGAAAUCAACUGAACCCCACUACUGGGUACCCAAAGGUAUAAACGAUAAUAGCCUUGCAUUGCCUGAAUUUCCCCUUUGUAAAUCAGGCAAACCAAUACUAAUACGUAUGUGAGGCUUUAUUAACCUAUGGCUAUAAAUGCUGAAAGCCAAAUAAGAAGUGAGUUAUCACAUUUAACAAAUUCAGUAGUGAUGACAUUAGCACGGACAGUUAUAAUAUCAGGAUACUGACAUACCAGUGUUAAAAUAUUUUAAAAGAUGAAUGCUCACUGAACAGUCUCAAAGUUAUUGUUAUGAAAACCAUUUAUCUAUAUGGAGGUUGACUCUCAGAAAGUUAAUCAUGUUAACCUGAUUUAUUCAUAUUUAGAUAAUUAAAAUGGUGAGAAUUUUAAAAAGGUGGGAAACUGUGUUGAUAGAUAUUAGCAAAAUAAACCUAAGAAAUUUCAAAUAUAAGUUAAUUAAAAAAUGAAUUUCAAUGUCUAACCCUAUGAGUAGAUAGAACAGUAAGAAAAAUUUUUUCUUAAAGGUAAGAAACUGAUGGAUGUAUUGUUGGCCAAAAUAUUAAUCCACACCUUUAUGCAAAUAUGUUUCUGAAAUUACUAGUAAAUACUGGGUUGGCUAUGGCUUCCUCCCUAAAUUACAAUGUUUUCCAAAGGCAUAUGACUAGGUCAACAGAUCAGUCAGCUUUUUAUCAAAAAUUACUUAGCUUCACAUUUUAUAAAUUCUACAGAAUAUGAUAAAAUACUAAUUCCUUUUAUCAUUAACAAAUCUCAUGGAAUGAGGAUGUUGGUAUUUAUCAAUAACUGAAAGCUUUCUGGUUGAAUAACAAAAACCUUAAAUGCUCCAGACUCAUAAUAAAUAAAUGCUCCAGACUCAUAAUAAAACUAGCAUCUACCAGAAAACUGAAAUUUUAGGAGAACUGACACUUUGAGGAGUUAGAAGACCAAAGUGAUUUUCUUAAACAGUUGAAAAAUUUCACUUCUCAUAUGGGAAAGAAGAAGUUCUAGCUGCAAAGCCUGGCCAUUAAAUAAAAUCCACACUCUUUAUGAGAAUAAUUCAUAAUAGCUAGAAAAGAUGUUCUUUUGUCUAAAGAUGCUGACCAUUGUGGGUGCAGAGUCAAAAGGCAGGCUAAGGACUUAGCAAAUGGCAGUGGAGCCCUCCUCCUGGUUAGAGCACAGGCGCAGGGGACCCAGCCCUCAGAAUUAGCUAUUGUUGUUAUGGACUGCAUAUUUGGAUCUAUCCCCUGCCCCCCAAAUUCGUCCACUGAAGCCCUAACCCCCAAUGUGAUGGUAUUUGGAGGGGGAACCUUUGGGAGAGAAUCAGCUUAUGAGGGUGGAGCCCUCAGGAUGGGAUUAGUGCCCUUCCAAGAAGAGACGCCGGACAGCUUGUUUCCUCUCAGUCCCGUGAGGACACAGGGAGAAGACGGCCUGUGUUCUAUGGACCAGGAAGUAAGUGGCGUCUCACCAGACACUGAAUCUGCUGGUGCCUUGAUCUUGGGACUCCUGAGCCUUCAGAACUGUGAGAAAUAAAUGUUUGCUGUUUAGACCACCCAGUCUAGGGUAGUUUUGUUAUAGCAGCCAGAGCUAAUAAGACAGCUACCAUGUAGUCCUUUUUCUGGUGGUGCCUCACGGCCCUCGGCAAUGAAAGUAAAACAGGAGAGAAGGGGGCAGGGCACAACCUUUAAAAGAAUGAUGUAGCCAUAGUACAUGACAAAGACUGGUUAGAACCAACUAGGUCCAAGAUGGCAGAAGAUUUGACUUCCAGAAGACCUUAAGCCUCAUUACAUGCUCAUUGUAAUGUCACCAUAUGCUAAAUGACACAUCCACCAGCGCCAUGACAGUUCCGAGGCCAACCAUAAAAGGUCAAAAAGUGGGCGGUGACCCAAUUCCUGGAAAUCCCCGCCCCUUCCCUUCCCCAAAAGUUGGAAUAAUCCACUCAUUAGCCUAUGAAAUUACCAGCCCAUAAAAAUGAGCCACCCCAUAUUUCGAAGCCUCUUGCCUUCCAAGAUGGCCCACACUCUGUCUGUGGAGUGUGUUUUUCUCUAAAUAAAUCUAUCACUUUAUCUCCGAAUUCUUUCACAACGAAGAAAGAACCUUAAAUCCACCGGGAACAAAAGUGCAGAGUCCUAACCACUGGACCGCCAGGGAAUUCAACAGCUACCAUGAAGCUCACCAAGAAGUGCUGGUAAAGGCUUGUAAAAGUGGAGCUGCAACAAGCUAGUCACGUCAGCCUACCUGCAUGAACCUACCUGCAUGAAGCCUGAGGGGUGGCCGAGUGAGCACAGAGGAAUUUCUGCCCGAGAGCCCAUCGUGGCUCAAGCUACCAGUGCUAGGCUCUACUCUACACAGCCCGGUGCUCCCGGGGACUUUUGCUAAGCCUAGGUGCAAAUCGUCAUCAUCAAGGCGCAGAUGCCCCACACUGCCACCCGAAAGAACCAAAAGGAGCAGAAGUGAGAGAAAAACACGUCUCGCACAACUUACCGAAUUGGCUUCUUUUUCCAAAGAAGGGCACGAAUCGUUGCUUGCUGGAUUCUUUGGUAUAGCAAGUUCAGACUUCUUAGCUUUUGGCUCAGCUUUGCUUUCUUUGGCAACUGGUUUUGUCACAGAUUUAGGGGGACUCCACCUGUUGGGCGAUGGCUUGUGCACCAGCGCCGAGGAAGACUGGCUUGGCCCUUCCUCUUCUUCCACGUCCUCCGGGGGGUACUGGGGGGCGUUCAGUUUCACGUAGUAGCCGUGAUACUGAGAGUGCAGCUCCCCGUUACUGGGGUUAGGGACGUGGUGACGGCCAGAGUACCUGGAGUGGGGCACAGCCGCUCCCACCUCCUUCGUGGGAGCCUUGGAGGUCAAGGGCUUAUUGACGGUGGCCGUCACCUGCUCCUCGGCUGCACUCCUUUUGUCUUGGUUG